GAUGAACGCUAGCGGCAGGCCUAAUACAUGCAAGUCGAACGAUACCAGAGAGCUUGCUUUCUGGGAAAGUGGCGCACGGGUGCGUAACGCGUAUGCAACCUACCUUAAUCAGGGGGAUAGCCUCUCGAAAGAGAGAUUAACACCGCAUAAAAUCACACUUCGGCAUCGAAGAAUGAUCAAAUAUUUAUAGGAUUAAGAUGGGCAUGCGUGACAUUAGCUAGUUGGUAAGGUAACGGCUUACCAAGGCUACGAUGUCUAGGGGAUCUGAGAGGAUGACCCCCCACACUGGUACUGAGACACGGACCAGACUCCUACGGGAGGCAGCAGUAAGGAAUAUUGGUCAAUGGGGGCAACCCUGAACCAGCCAUGCCGCGUGCAGGAAGACGGCCCUACGGGUUGUAAACUGCUUUUAUACGGGAAUAAAUCUCGCUACGUGUAGUGAGUUGAAUGUACUGUAAGAAUAAGGAUCGGCUAACUCCGUG
rnacentral:rRNA from 2 species